rnacentral:rRNA from 1 species
AGUGAACGCUGGCGGUAGGCCUAACACGUGCAAGUCGAACGGCAGCACAGUAAGAGCUUGCUCUUACGGGUGGCGAGUGGCGGACGGGUGAGGAAUACAUCGGAAUCUACUUUUUCGUGGGGGAUAACGUAGGGAAACUUACGCUAAUACCGCAUACGACCUACGGGUGAAAGCAGGGGAUCUUCGGACCUUGCGCGAUUGAAUGAGCCGAUGUCGGAUUAGCUAGUUGGCGGGGUAAAGGCCCACCAAGGCGACGAUCCGUAGCUGGUCUGAGAGGAUGAUCCGCCACACUGGAACUGAGACACGGUCCAGACUCCUACGGGAGGCAGCAGUGGGGAAUAUUGGACAAAGGGCGCAAGCCUGAUCCAGCCAUACCGCGUGGGUGAAGAAGGCCUUCGGGUUGUAAAGCCCUUUUGUUGGGAAAGAAAAGCAGCAGGUUAAUACCCCGCUGUUCUGACGGUACCCAAAGAAUAAGCACCGGCUAACUUCGUG